UUGCAGAUCACUAACAGUUUCAUGGAGAAAGCAUUUAUACUAUGUCUGUUCCAACUCCUUCCAGAAUCUCCUGUCAUUUUUUGUCUCCCAAAUGACCAGGAUGCAAGAUGUAGUCAGCCCAAGGAACUGAAUAAAGAAACCAUCAACCCUCAUGGAUGAAAACUGGAAAAUACAUGCUAAGUUUACUGCGAGUUUUAACUAUGGAGACUGUGCCCAUCUCUUAAGAAUCACUAUGUGGUUUUUCCAUAUCAAGACUUCAGGAAGAAAAAAGAAAGACAAAUUUUAUUAUAAAAUAUUGAUAUCACUGGAGGACAAUUCAUAASACCACAGGAAUGAUUGGAUUCAGCAGUGAUGUGCUUCUACGUACACUUCAGAGAAGAGAAGAAAUAAAUCAUACAGGACAUAGCCA
rnacentral:lncRNA from 1 species